rnacentral:misc_RNA from 1 species
GAUGAAGAACGUAGCGAAAUGCGAUAAGUAAUGUGAAUUGCAGAAUUCAGUGAAUCAUCGAAUCUUCGAACGCACAUUGCGCCCGCCAGUAUUCUGGCGGGCAUGCCUGUUCGAGCGUCAUUUCAACCAUCAAGCCCCAGGCUUGUGAUGGGGACCUGCGGCUGCCGCAGGCCCUGAAAACCAGUGGCGGGCUCGCUGUCACACCGGGCGUAGUAGAUUUUAUCUCGCUCAGGGCGUGCUGCGGGUUCCGGCCGUUAAAAAGCCUUUUUUACCCAAGGUUGACCUCGGAUCAGGUAGGAAGACCCGCUGAACUUAAGCAUAUCAAUAAGCGGAGGA